AGCUAUACAUGCAGUCGAGCGAAUGGAUUGAGAGCUUGCUCUCAAGAAGUUAGCGGCGGACGGGUGAGUAACACGUGGGUAACCUGCCCAUAAGACUGGGAUAACUCCGGGAAACCGGGGCUAAUACCGGAUAAUAUUUUGAACUGCAUGGUUCGAAAUUGAAAGGCGGCUUCGGCUGUCACUUAUGGAUGGACCCGCGUCGCAUUAGCUAGUUGGUGAGGUAACGGCUCACCAAGGCAACGAUGCGUAGCCGACCUGAGAGGGUGAUCGGCCACACUGGGACUGAGACACGGCCCAGACUCCUACGGGAGGCAGCAGUAGGGAAUCUUCCGCAAUGGACGAAAGUCUGACGGAGCAACGCCGCGUGAGUGAUGAAGGCUUUCGGGUCGUAAAACUCUGUUGUUAGGGAAGAACAAGUGCUAGUUGAAUAAGCUGGCACCUUGACGGUACCUAACCAGAAAGCCACGGCUAACUACGUGCCAGCAGCCGCGGUAAUACGUAGGUGGCAAGCGUUAUCCGGAAUUAUUGGGCGUAAAGCGCGCGCAGGUGGUUUCUUAAGUCUGAUGUGAAAGCCCACGGCUCAACCGUGGAGGGUCAUUGGAAACUGGGAGACUUGAGUGCAGAAGAGGAAAGUGGAAUUCCAUGUGUAGCGGUGAAAUGCGUAGAGAUAUGGAGGAACACCAGUGGCG
rnacentral:rRNA from 1 species